UUCCACCUAAGGACCUGUCCAGGACGGCAGUGUCGUUCUUGAUUUAUGCAACCGUGUGGAGCCUUGGAACCAACUCUCCCGAGUUCAAAAGAUGUACCUCAGCAGGUAUCAGAGAGGCUGUGUCUGUGAGAUCUCGCCCUGUACUGGAGCGUCCUGUUUGAUCGAGAUUUUUCAGAA